rnacentral:rRNA from 1 species
CACGUAGGGGGCGAGCGUUGUCCGGAUUUAUUGGGCGUAAAGCGCGCGCAGGCGGCUUUGUAAGUUUGGUGUUUAAUCUCAGAGCUCAACUCUGAUUCGCAUCGAAAACUGCAAGGCUUGAGUACAGAAGAGGAAAGUGGAAUUCCACGUGUAGCGGUGAAAAUGCGUAGAGAUGUGGAGGAACACCAGUGGCGAAGGCGACUUUCUGGGCUGUAACUGACGCUGAGGCGCGAAAGCGUGGGGAGCAAACAGG